GUAGGUGGCAAGCGUUGUCCGGAUUUACUGGGUGUAAAGGGCGCGUAGGCGGAUGUGCAAGUCAGUCGUGAAAUACCGGGGCUCAACCCCGGGGCUGCGAUUGAAACUGCACACCUUGAGUAUCGGAGAGGAAAGCGGAAUUCCUAGUGUAGCGGUGAAAUGCGUAGAUAUUAGGAGGAACACCAGUGGCGAAGGCGGCUUUCUGGACGACAACUGACGCUGAGGCGCGAAAGUGUGGGGAGCAAA
rnacentral:rRNA from 1 species